rnacentral:rRNA from 1 species
AGCAGCCGCGGUAAUUCCAGCUCCAAUAGCGUAUAUUAAAGUUGUUGCAGUUAAAAAGCUCGUAGUUGAAUUUCGGGAUCAAUAUGUCGGUCGUGCCUUCGGUACGUACUGGUAUCAUUGGUCUCUCCUUUCUGACGAACCAUGAUGUCAUUAAUUUGGUGUUAUGGGGAGUUAGGACUGUUACUUUGAAAAAAUUAGAGUGUUUAAAGCAGGCUUUAGCUUGAAUACAUUAGCAUGGAAUAAUGAAAUAGGACGUUCGAACCUAUUUUGUUGGUUUCUAGGAUCAACGUAAUGAUUAAUAGGGAUAGUUGGGGGCAUUAGUAUUCAAUUGUCAGAGGUGAAAUUCUUGGAUUUAUUGAAGACUGACUACUGCGAAAGCAUUUGCCAAGGAUGUUUUCAUUAAUCAAGAACGAAAGUUAGGGGAUCGAAGACGAUCAGAUACCGUCGUAGUCUUAACCAUAAACUAUGCCGACUAGGGAUCGGAUGAUGUUAAUUUUUAAUGACUCAUUCGGCGCCUUAC